AUCCUUCUGUAGUUUAUAAGCAUGAUGAUUGGGUUUUCAUAUGCUUGUGUGAGAUGUUGCGCUCAUAAACCUUGUUGCAGAGUCAGCGCAUUACCUGUCUGACA
ensembl:snoRNA